UACGUAGGGGGCUAGCGUUGUCCGGAAUCAUUGGGCGUAAAGAGCGUGUAGGCGGUCCGGUAAGUCCGCUGUGAAAGUCGGGGGCUCAACCCUCGGAAGCCGGUGGAUACUGUCGAGCUAGAGUACGGAAGAGGCGAGUGGAAUUCCUGGUGUAGCGGUGAAAUGCGCAGAUAUCAGGAGGAACACCAAUUGCGAAGGCAGCUCGCUGGGACGUUACUGACGCUGAGACGCGAAAGCGUGGGGAGCAAACAGG
rnacentral:rRNA from 1 species